CCUACGGGAGGCAGCAGUAAGGAAUCUUCCACAAUGGACGAAAGUCUGAUGGAGCAACACCGCGUGCAGGAUGACGGCCUUCGGGUUGUAAACUGCUUUAUAUGGGAAGAUUAUGACGGUACCAUAUGAAUAAGGACCGGCUAACUACGUGCCAGCAGCCGCGGUAAUACGUAGGGUCCAAGCGUUAUCCGGAAUCACUGGGCGUAAAGCGUGCGUAGGUGGCGUGUUAAGUGUGAUGUUAAAUCGUGGGGCUCAACCCUGUCGGUGCAUCACAUACUGGCAUGCUAGAGGACGGCAGAGGCAAGUGGAAUUUGUAGUGUAGCAGUGAAAUGCGUAGAUAUUACAAGGAACACCAAUGGCGAAGGCAGCUUGCUGGGCCAAUCCUGACACUGAGGUACGAAAGCGUGGGGAGCGAACAGGAUUAGAUACCCUGGUAGUCCACGACCGUAACGAUAGCAUACUACGACGUAGUAGGGUAGUCGUACCCCGUCCGUGUCGUCGACGACGACGACGAGUAAGUAGUGCCGCCGCGGAGGUACGGCCGGCCGACGACGUUAAACGUUAACGUAAAGAAAGUUAGUAGCGNGNGAGAGCGACGACGACGACGAGGAGGAGGNG
rnacentral:rRNA from 1 species